rnacentral:rRNA from 1 species
UGCUUGUCUCAAAGAUUAAGCCAUGCAUGUCUAAGUCCAAGCUGUGUUCACACGGCGAGACCGCGGACGGCUCAUUAAAUCAGUCGUGGUCCAAAUGGGCCAGUGCAAAUCCUACUUGGAUAACUGUGGUAAUUCCAGAGCUAAUACAUGCAACUGAUAUCCCGAAGGCGGUGUUUGGGCUUGCUUGCCUUGCGCUGCGCUGCUCUGACGGAUGCUUUUAUUAGACCAAGCCGCUGAGGACUUGAGGGUUCGCGCUCUCUUGUCUGACUCGUGUGAUGGUGACUCUGGAUAACCAAAUUCUGACAAGCGCACGUACUUCUCUUCUGAGCGAGACGGCGCUGCCACUUUCGAGUGUCUGCCUUAUCAGCUAUCAACCGUUCGUUAUGCGCGACCGAUGGCUUUGACGGGUAACGGGGAAUCAGGGUUCGAUUCCGGAGAGGCAGCCUGAGAGACGGCUACCACGUCCAAGGACGGCAGCAGGCACGCAAAUUACCCAAUCCCAGCAAAUGGGGGAGGUAGUGACGAAAUCUAACGAUGCGGGCGCCCUUUCUGGGGCCCCGCAAUCGGAAUGGGCACUUUCUAAACAAC